CCCUUAGAUGUCCGGGGCCGCACGCGCGCUACACUGAAGGAAUCAGCGUGGCUUUCUCCCUGACCCGAAAGGGUUGGGAAACCCGUUGAAUCUCCUUCGUGAUAGGGAUUGGGGCUUGAAAUUGUUCCCCAUGAACGAGGAAUUCCCAGUAAGCGCGGGUCAUCAUCCCGCGCUGAAUACGUCCCUGCCCUUUGUACACACCGCCCGUCGCUCCUACCGAUUGAGUGGUCCGGUGAGGCUUUGGGAUCUGAGCGGAAAGAGCGUUUCGCUGUUUCUGCUCGGAAAACUCAGUCGAACCUUAUCAUUUAGAGGAAGGAGAAGUCGUAACA
rnacentral:rRNA from 1 species